AUUGUUACUGGAAUCCUCCACUCUCUUCACUGUAUGAUUUGGAAAGACCGUUCUGUAAAGUACAUACAUAAUCAAUCAGAAAACUAAAGCUCAGAGAUUAAGUUCACCCAGGAACACGGUGGAGAUAGCAGAGCUGGGUAUACUUGGAAGGAUUUCUUUUAAAAGUGUUGGAUUUGAAUCCAGGCUGUUGAUUCUGUGGUGUUGGUUCCAAGACUUAAGGACAUUAGGAGUAUUAUACUUACGCGUCCUGACGAUCACCUGAGAAAAUUAUAAG